rnacentral:rRNA from 1 species
UACGUAGGGUGCAAGCGUUAAUCGGAAUUACUGGGCGUAAAGCGUGCGCAGGCGGUUUGUAAGUCUGUCGUGAAAGCCCCGGGCUCAACCUGGGAAUUGCAUUCGAGACUGCGAAGCUAGGGUGCGGAAGAGGGAAGCGGAAUUUCCGGUGUAGCGGUGAAAUGCGUAGAUAUCCGGAGGAACACCGGUGGCGAAGGCGGCUCCUGGACCGACACUGACGCUGAGGCGCGAAAGCUAGGGGAGCAAACGGG